GCCAGAUCGUGCCACUGUGUUCCAGCCUGGGCAACAAAGCAAAACUCUUGUCUGAAAUAAAUAAAUAAAUAAACAAAAAACAACACAAGAAAGAGAGAGAGAAAGAAAGAAAAGAAGGAAGAAAAAAGAGAAAGAAAAUUAGAAUGGGAAGAAUUUCAGUUUUACAACUGUAACUGAUAAUUUUAAAUGUAUAUUUAUUGUAAAAUAAAACCCGGAUACAUAAUCCAAUGGAUCCAAUGUACGGCUUAACUAAUUACUACAAAGUGAACUGCCUCGGAGACCAAGAAAAAGAACUUUGCCAGCCACAGCAGAAGUCUCUCCACGCGCCCCACCCCAGUCACUCCUUCCUCUUCCAUAAGUAGUCAUCCUUAUUCUGACUCACAGGACGCACUGAUUGCAUUUUUAGCAGCAAGUCCGCUGGAGGUUGCGCAAGACCUCUCCGGCCAGACCCCUGGGGCGGGCUCAGCAGUCCUCCUCCACGCUCAAGAUGCAGUUUGAUGUAUCCGUAGAGGACGCAGUUUCAAGUUUCUCCAGAUAGAGAAGCGAAAGAGGAUCCGAAACCGCGCUUCACGUCGCUCUGGCAGAAAGCAGAAGCGCGGGGUUGAGGGCGCAGACCUGGGCAGAGGAGAGGCGCGCAGGGUCACGCAUGCUCCACUGAGCCGUGGGAAGUGUCCACAGCCAGCCAUGGGAGCCCUGUGGGUUCUGAAGCUGACAUUUCUGCUUUAGGUGCCUUAAGCUGAAGAAAUGCAUAGUAGAAGGAAUUGGAGUGCAGGCCUGCCAUUCCCCAGCUCUUUGAAGACAAGAUCAUGCAGAUACUUUUCAGCACACACGUCUGGUCUCCCUGGCAAGUGCCCAGCUCUGGGCCUGUACCCUCCCAGCAGCGCCACCCAAGGUGGCCAGCCUGAGCUCAUGAGCUGCUCACUGGGGUCCCUCCCCUGACCCUAACCCUGCUUCAGUCACCCACUA
rnacentral:lncRNA from 1 species